AUUGAACGCUGGCGGCAGGCCUAACACAUGCAAGUCGAGCGGAUGCAGGGUGCUAGCUCCUGCAUUCAGGGGCCGACGGGUGGGUAAUGCCUAGGAAUCUCCCUGGCAGUGGGGGAUAACGUCCGGAAGCAGGCGCUAAUACCGCAUACGUCCUGAGGGCGAACGUGGGGGAUCUUCGGACCUCACGCUAUCAGAUGAGCCUAGGUCGGAUUAGCUAGUUGGUGGGGUAAAGGCCUACCAAGGCGACGAUCCGUAGCUGGUCUGAGAGGAUGAUCAGUCACACUGGAACUGAGACACGGUCCAGACUCCUACGGGAGGCAGCAGUGGGGAAUAUUGGACAAUGGGCGAAAGCCUGAUCCAGCCAUGCCGCGUGUGUGAAGAAGGUCUUCGGAUUGUAAAGCACUUUAAGUUGGGAGGAAGGGCAGUAAGUUAAUACCUUGCUGUUUUGACGUUACCAACAGAAUAAGCACCGGCUAACUUCGUG
rnacentral:rRNA from 1 species